AUUGAACGCUGGCGGCAUGCUUUACACAUGCAAGUCGAACGGUAACAGGGUGCUUGCACCGCUGACGAGUGGCGAACGGGUGAGUAAUACAUCGGAAUGUACCCAGUAAUGGGGGAUAACGCUUCGAAAGGAGUGCUAAUACCGCAUACGCCCUGAGGGGGAAAGUGGGGGACCGCAAGGCCUCACGUUAUUGGAGCAGCCGAGGGCUGAUUAGUUAGUUGGUGAGGUAAAGGCUCACCAAGGCGACGAUCAGUAGCGGGUCUUAGAGGACGAUCCGCCACACUGGAACUGAGACACGGUCCAGACUCCUACGGGAGGCAGUAGUGGGGAAUCUUGGACAAUGGGCGAAAGCCUGAUCCAGCAAUGCCGCGUGCGUGAAGAAGGCCUUCGGGUUGUAAAGCGCUUUUGUCUGGGAGCAAAUCCUGACCUCUAAUACAGGCUGGGGAUGAGAGUACCAGAAGAAUAAGGACCGGCUAACUACGUGCCAGCAGCCGCCGUAAAAC
rnacentral:rRNA from 1 species